rnacentral:rRNA from 1 species
GAACGCUCGGCGGCGUGCUUAACACAUGCAAGUCGAACGAAGCACUUGAUUUCAAUUCCUUCGGAAUUGAUUAUCUUGCGACUGAGUGGCGGACGGGUGAGUAACGCGUGGGCAACCUGCCUUGCACUGGGGGAUAACAGUCUGAAAUCGGCUUGCUAUUACCGCUUAAACGCAAGCGUCGCAUUGGAUGCGGUGUGCAAAACUCCGGUGGUGUAAGAUGGACCCGCGCUGAAUUAGCUAUUGGGUGAGGAACCGGCCCCCCAACGCAACAAUCCAUACCCAACCUGAAAGGGGGACCGGCCACUUUGGAACUGAAACCCGGCCCAAACUCCUACGGAAGGAACCAUGGGGAAAUAUUGCCCAUGGGGCAAAACCCGGAGGCACCAACCCCCCGGGAGCAAAAAAUUAUUCCGGAAUGUAAAGUUCUAUCACCAGGAAAAAUAAGGACGGACCCUGACUAAAAACCACCGGUUACUUACUUGCCACCACCCGCGGAAAUACUUAUGGUGCAGGCGUUAUCCGAAUUUACUUGGUGGUAAAGGAAGCUCAAACCGGUGCGCCAAGCCUAAUGUGAAACCCCGGGGCUCACCCUCGGAACUGCAUUGAAAACUGUCUGACUAAAGGGCCGAAAGGGUAAUCGAAUUUCCUAUGGUAGCGUGGAAUGGCGUAGAUUUAAGGAGAAACACCAGUGGCGAAAGGCGGCUUACUGGACGAUAACUGACGCUGAGGCUCGAAGGCGGGGGGAGCAAACAGGAUUAGAUACCUGGAUUGUCCACGCGGUAAAGGAGGAAUAUUGGUGUGUUGGGAAGCAUUGCUUUUGGGUGCCGUGGCAAAGCCAGUAACUAUUCCACUUGGGGAGUAGGUUGGCAGGAAUGAAAUUCAAAGGAAUGGAGGGGGACCGCCCCAAGCGGUGGAGCAUGUGGUUUAAUUGGAAGCAACGGGAGGACCUUUACCAAUUCUGGCCUUCCUUUUGAGGGGUGGUUACCCGUCCUUUCUUUUGGGACCAGGAGUGCCAGGUGGUCCAUGGUGUUGUUCAGUUGGGUUGGUGGGAUGUGGGGUUAAUUCCCGCACGGAGCGCAACCUUUUUCUUUAGUAGCCAGCGGUGAGGCCGGGCACUCUAGAGAGACUGCCAGGGAUAACCUGGAGGAAGGCGGGGAUGACGUCAAAUCAUCAUGCCCCUUAUGAUUUGGGCUACACACGUGCUACAAUGGCGUAAACAAAGGGAAGCGAAGCAGUGAAGCGGAGCAAAUCUCAAAAAUAACGUCUCAGUUCGGACUGUAGUCUGCAACCCGACUACACGAAGCUGGAAUCGCUAGUAAUCGCGGAUCAGAAUGUUGCGGUGAAUACGUUCCCGGGUCUUGUACACACCGCCCGUCACACCAUGGGAGUCGGGAAUGCCCGAAGUCAGUGACCCAACCGAAAGGAAGGAGCUGUCGAAGGCAGGCCAGAUAACUGGGG